GAUGAACGCUGGCGGCGUGCCUAAUACAUGCAAGUCGAGCGAACAGAUAAGGAGCUUGCUCCUUUGACGUUAGCGGCGGACGGGUGAGUAACACGUGGGUAACCUACCUAUAAGACUGGAAUAACUCCGGGAAACCGGGGCUAAUGCCGGAUAACAUUUAGAACCGCAUGGUUCUAAAGUGAAAGAUGGUUUUGCUAUCACUUAUAGAUGGACCCGCGCCGUAUUAGUUAGUUGGUAAGGUAAUGGCUUACCAAGGCAACGAUACGUAGCCGACCUGAGAGGGUGGUCGGCCACACUGGAACUGAGACACGGUCCAGACUCCUACGGGAGGCAGCAGUAGGGAAUCUUCCGCAAUGGGCGAAAGCCUGACGGAGCAACGCCGCGUGAGUGAUGAAGGGUUUCGGCUCGUAAAACUCUGUUAUUAGGGAAGAACAAACGUGUAAGUAACUGUGCACGUCUUGACGGUACCUAAUCAGAAAGCCACGGCUAACUACGUGCCAGCCGCCGCAGUAA
rnacentral:rRNA from 1 species